rnacentral:rRNA from 1 species
GAUGAACGCUAGCUACAGGCUUAACACAUGCAAGUCGAGGGGCAGCAUGAACUUAGCUUGCUAAGUUUGAUGGCGACCGGCGCACGGGUGAGUAACACGUAUCCAACCUGCCGAUGACUCGGGGAUAGCCUUUCGAAAGAAAGAUUAAUACCCGAUGGCAUAGUUCUUCCGCAUGGUAGAACUAUUAAAGAAUUUCGGUCAUCGAUGGGGAUGCGUUCCAUUAGGUUGUUGGCGGGGUAACGGCCCACCAAGCCUUCGAUGGAUAGGGGUUCUGAGAGGAAGGUCCCCCACAUUGGAACUGAGACACGGUCCAAACUCCUACGGGAGGCAGCAGUGAGGAAUAUUGGUCAAUGGACGAGAGUCUGAACCAGCCAAGUAGCGUGAAGGAUGACUGCCCUAUGGGUUGUAAACUUCUUUAUACGGGAAUAAAGUGAGGCACGUGUGCCUUUUUGUAUGUACCGUAUGAAUAAGGAUCGGCUAACUCCGUGCCAGCAGCCGC